rnacentral:lncRNA from 1 species
CACAGCUCAACGGCAGUAUGAACCUGCAGCGGGGCUUUGUCUGAGGGCCAGCAGGCUGGGGGUUCUGGUUCUGAAUAUGCCUCUGGUCACCUUCAUGAACCUGAGCAAAUCGAGUUCUCUCUGUGUGCCUCAGUUUCCUCACCUGUGAAAUGAAUACGUUGGACUGGAUCAUCUCUGAGAUUGCUUCCGGUCCUUCUGGUUCUCCUAUGUGGGAUGCUGCCUCAGCAUGGCUUGAUGAGUGAUGCGAGAUCCGCACCCAGGAUCCAAAGUGGCGAAACCCUGGACUGCUGGAGCAGAGCAAGUGAACUUAACCACUUGGCCCGGGGCUGGCCCCACUUCAAGUAUUCUUGAAAAAAAAAGAAUAAAGUGGGAUAACUUGUUGCAUCAGAUAUUAAGACUUAUAAAGUUACAGUAAUUAACACAGUG